UGUAUCCUGAAAUGUUUGUUAAGGUUCUGUAAUUCAACCUACAGUUUCACAUCGGGAAUUCGGGUUUUCAUAAUUAUGUCAGGCCUCCUCAGAGUGGAAGACAGAAGUAUGAAACAGAGUACCCACCUAUCAUUGAUAGGGCGUGAAUUAUAGCCUGACGGCAUUUUGGGAAUAAA
rnacentral:other from 1 species